rnacentral:rRNA from 1 species
UACCAGCACCCCGAGUGGUCGGGACGAUUAUUGGGCCUAAAGCAUCCGUAGCCGGUUCUGCAAGUCCCCCGUUAAGUCCAGCUGCUCAACAGAUGGGCCGCGGAGGAUACUCCAGAGCUAGGAGGCAGGAGAGGCAAGCGGUACUCAGUGGGUAGGGGUAAAAUCCGUUGAUCCAUUGAAGACCACCAGUGGCGAAGGCGGCUUGCCAGAAUGCGCUCGACGGUGAGGGAUGAAAGCUGGGGGAGCAAACCGG